GCCCGACACUCUGGAGAGACCGGCCAGCCCCGCGGGGCCCGCGCCGGCGCCGAAGGGGCAAGAAGCGACGCGGGACCUCCUCCCCCGCCCCGCGCUUCCAAACUCUCAGGCAGAAGGACAGAGGGGCAGCU
rnacentral:ncRNA from 2 species